GGUGGUGGACUUCCGGAUCGUACUUAGGGAUUUGCCCGAACUUCCGGUAAAGGCAAGUAAAUACAGUGGUGGUUGCUACCGUUUGGGUUGCAUCCUAUUCCCUGACAUUGAGUAUGCAUAAGUUUUAAUUAUGUUAAUCAUUGAAUUCUAUGAUGAAGUUUAUUUGUUUGGAAGUAUUAAUUCUCAAUUGUCUAAUAUUGUGGAUGAUCAUAAUUUGGUAAUGAUAUAUGUGGUUGAUUCCCAUCUUGGAUGAAGUUGAAGUAUUUUUUUGAAUCACGUUAUAUGAAGUGUUGUAGGCAUGACAUGCUCAUCGCAUCAUCCAUCUUGCAUUUUGAAGUUAUGUCGUGAUCUUAUGGUCCGACCGUACCGGUACAUUUUUAGCAUCGUACGUUGCCCGAGGAGGGGUACGAUGCGGCUUCAUAUCCUUAGAGGUAUGAAGGCAGAAGUCAUCCUUGCAUUUGCAGACAUUUGCACUCAUGAGGUAUAUAUGAAGUGUGACAUUACUAUGUUACUAUUGUGGUUUCUACCUGCGAGGUGUGGUGACUAGGUGUGUUGUACGUUGUAUACGUGUUGCACCUUCGUAAUAAGAAGGUUGUGGAAUCAAGUGGUGGUAAAAACAAUGUUCUUAGGUGGUUAAACAGUUUGAUAUUAUUUUACUUGCUGAGAUGUGUCAUCUCACUCUUGCAUUACUCAAUGCAGGUACUUGAUACAUGUUGGGAAUGAGGGGAGUAGCAGCACGUCCACUUUCACUCUCACAAUAACGCUGCCCAGGCGCAGCCAUGAUUUAAUUAGAAACUUAUUGUCAAAGGAAGUUUGUUUUUUUAACUAGUCGUGCGCACUAGUUAAUUCACUUCAUGUCGUAUGUUUAACUUCUCUUUGUUAGCCGAUUAAUAAUACUUAGUAUGUUUUUGUCAUGAUAUAUGUUUAUACACUGUUGCCCCCUCAUUUAUGCAAUUUUGCAAGGGGGAUGCUGCCGAAAUUUUAUAUAUAGAUGUCAGAAGUGUUGUUUAGUAGCAUUCCGGGGUGUUGGUGGACCCCGGGGUGUUACAGUUGGUAUCAAAGCAUAGGCUUUAGAUUCUACGCAAUUUGAAGAUAAAUUUGACACACUUGCACAUAUAGGAAGGGUAUGGGUUCGUAUCUCUUUCAUAUUAGUAUUUUAUUGUAUAGAUGACUAGAACUUCCUUACUCCAAAUCCCUUUAUGGUUUGAUGGGGUAUGUCGUUAACGACGUAAUGCUUGAUAUGAUAUGUUACUUCUAUUUAGUAUUGGUUUCUUGAUGUGGUUGUUAUUGAAGAUAUUAUGCAAGUGAAGCUACUAAUGUACUUGUUUUAUAUACAUAUCGUCAUGAUGUUUUUUUGGGAUGCAAUGUUUUCAAAUCUCUGAGCUAUUACCAUCAUAUAUUUCUAUAUGCUUGAUUGUGGAUGUUUUUUUCCCAAAAGGAUUCUUGGGUUCUUGUACUUAUAGGACCAAUUGUUUAUUGAGCUUGUGUAUAGUGGGUCUAAUCCGACUUGGUGUAGUGUGAAAACACUAUAUAAUGUAGUUUUAUGUUGUUGUUGAGUUUGAUUGACUGUUGGGUUACAACCCAACUUAUCAAUGUAAUAUUUCCAUGGGUGCAAUGCUUUGCGCCUCACUUUUUUUAGGCUAGUGUGGCUACUUGCUAACUUGAUCUUAGUAUAAAAUUGGUUUGUCUCUAUAGAGCAGAUGCAACGUUGUAAUGUCUAUGAAAUCUUUAGACUGGUAAAACUCGAGUGAAUUUGUGACAUGACGUAGAUUGAUAAGUCCAACCAUGUCUACCUGAUAGGUUUUCUUAUUAUGUGCAACCUUAUUUUUAACAAUAAAUAGGGUGGUUUCAAGUGGAUUUUAUGUCGUGCAUGUUUUCCUUCUAUGGCUUGUUUCAAUAGCCAUAAAGGCUAUGCAUAUUUUUUAGUUGUUGCAGGCUAGUCAUGUGGGCGAUAUUGAUAUCCCGUUUUAUAUUUUUUUUAUUUGCCAACAUUGUAUGACAGUUUGAUUUUUUUAUGAGCAGUUUCUCUAUGCAUGCUUGUUGAAUCAUUAUUUGGACCGCUUUAUCUUAAACGAAGUCAAUGCUUAACUGGGAGUUGCUUAUGUUUGUUAGUCAUCGAUCUCUUUAAUGAUGGGGUUGUUGCAUCGGAUUGAGAUUUUUCUUAUAUGAAUGAUGGUUUGAUAGAUCAUGUAUGUCUACUACUUUGAAUGCAUCCUGUGAUAUCACGAAGUACAAAUUGUUCAAGUGCAGUAAUAGUAGGUUUUGUUGUAUGUGAGGUUAAUCAAGGUAGUUUGGUUAUGUGGAUUGUCUUAUGGACGUCCAAUUACUCCUAUUGAGCAUAGUAUCGUGUUAUUAUUUUAGUAUUGAAAGUAAUAUUUAUGAAGCUUUUGCAUGAGUCUGUGUCAAGAAGUACAUUAGUUUUUCUUGUUAUCCCUCCAUUGCUUUAUGAGUAUUGCAAAUUUUAUCUCUUUUGAGAGGAGGAAAAGACGUUACAUGACAUGAGCACCAUUUGCUUCACGUCAACAGAAUAGUUGUGGAGAGCUCUAAUAGUUGGAUUCUAGUGUAAUAACAACCAUGUUUUAUAGUGCUAGAGACGGGUAUGUCAGGUGUUUCAUACAUUGUCGAUACAUGGAUGUUUGACCUUAGUGGCAUUAACAAAUGAGGUUGUUGAAUUCGUUGAUUGUGGUGCUUAGUGUUCUAACCUAUUAGGUAAAGUGUUGCUUAAAGGCUUUGGGGAGUUGCAUCCCCAUUUGGUAGUGGAAAAUCCUAAUGUUGGUCGCACCUGCCAAUGCCUUGGGUUUUAUUUUAUAUUGUUUUUUAUUAUGGGUAAGGUGUUGUUUUGUUUUGGGAGUCAUUUUAAAUUAGUUGGAGGCUGAAUCAGGCUUCACUUAUCUAGAAUGUUUUAUAGUAGGUUUCUUCAUCUUUGCAUAGGAUGCUCAAUCACCCAGUUUGGUCUAAACAUUUGAGAGUUAUGGGUUUCCUAUAGCAGCCUUAAUUUUGUACGGAAGUAUAGACAUUGAAUACGGUAAAUUUUGGGUUUUGUUGGAUUAUGAAAGUUUUAGUAAUUUCAUGAUCUUCCCAAAGAGUAUUGGUUUGUAAUUUUCAUUGCAUAUAAUUGGAAUUAGGCUACUCUGAAAUUGUUGCACCGUUGUGUCUGAACUUUAGGUGUCAUUAAAACCACUAAUAAAUCGACCGCGUUUUGAUAGUUUCAGAGCCCAAAUUUGGGAAUUCUCUUUAAGAAAAACUUUUAGUUUUUCUUAGUACCUUUUAAUGGGUAUUUACUUGUAAUUGUCUGUUAAAUAGAUUGGGAGAGGUGGUUGUCCGGAUAUAAGUCGAAUCUCUGAUGUGCAGUAUCUCAGGCUGAGUUUAGCUGUAGGUCAUGCAGAGUUGAGGGCUAUAAAGAUAAAUUUGGGUGGAACUUUAUUGCAAAAGUCGUGGACAAUUUCCAAACUUUUCCAACGCAUGUUCGUUGUAGUUUUAAGUUGAGUAUAGCAGGAGUUAUAGUAUUUUGAAUUUUAGUUGUCCAUUGUUUCUAACCUAUCAGUUUUGCAACAAAGCAAUUGCAUUGUUUUAUCGGUUUGGAAACCAAUUCUGAGACACUCAUUAUAAUAAAAGUUUUAGGGAAUGUUAUAAUCUUUUCAAUGAGUUUAUAUUUGUAAAAUUUUGUUAGAUGCAGAGAGUUAUGAGGUUUUGAAUUUAUGGGUCAUGUUCCGUCAAGUUCUGGUGGCAGAUCAUGUAUGUCACCUUACAAGCCAAAUUAAAAAAAUGGAGAUAAAAAAACUUUGUUUAUCCUUUGAAUACAAAAGUUGUAGGUCAUGAAGUUUAGAUGAUUUUACAAUAUUUCUUUGUUAUCAUUGCUUUUAUAGUGAAAGAGGUAGAGACAGAAUGAGCAUUUGUGCUGUUGAUUGUCAAUUUUCUAUUUAGGGAUAUUUCUUUGGGAGUUUGGUUUAGUUAUGGUGAGCUCUUUCGCAAUCCAUGUUAAUUAUGUUGUAUGGUGGGAGGGAAUAGAUGUAGUGGUUGUGAUAGUUAUCUUGUUAUUGUAUAUGUGGAGCGUGGGCUAAAACAGAGAGAUAGCGAGGGAUAUUUGAAUAGGCCAGUACGUAUUGUUGUGAAGCCAUGUUUUCUGGUCUUGGCGUGUUUGCGUAAGUAUGAAAUAGUUACGUCGUGUGAAGUCUAGGUGGAGAUGCAGAUUGUCUGAGUUAUUGGAUGGAUAUAUGGGCAGGCAUAGUAUACUUAAAUUGAUUCUUGCUUGCAUGAUGUGAGAUCAGGCUUAAAAUGAUUUAAAAAAGUAAGCAUAUUGCUUCUACCCUUAUGUUGGCUCUAAGUGUCUCGUAAUGAAGAACCUAAAGUUAUUAGUCCUUCGAUGAACGCUUAAUCUUAGAAGAGUAUAGAACCUGAAUAAAUCUAUUGCUUGCUGUUUGGGACUACAUGACCAGUUUUGGUUAUGUCGCUAGUUCAAUGAAUUACACCAUGUUUUCGGUAGAGGUGUUGUAUAUAAAAAGUUGUAGCCAACUUCUUCAUCUUACUUGUGUAAAAUUUCAUGACCAUAGGUCUAGUAGUUUGGGAGUUAUGAUUUUCUCAAGUCUAGUCUUGGAAUCUGUCCAGAUUCUGUACAGAUUUCGAAACUAACCUUGUUUGCCCAAGUUAAACUUCGAAUCAGUUCUUAUAAAUUUUAAAGAAGUGGUAGUACUUUCCUUAAGCUUUCCAACAAAUUUUGGAUCACCCUUUUUGGUGACCUAUAAGUUAAGCUACAUCUGUUUUAAUUGGAAUCUUUGAAUGUGUCCAAAUUUGGACAGCAAAGCCUUUCUUAUGUAUUUUGAUCUUGAUAUGCAUUGAAUUAACCUGAUAGGUUUAUAAAUGAAAUAUAGACAAUUUUACUGGCUUUCUAAAAAGUCUAGGAGCGCCUGAAUGGGAUGACUGAGACUCCAAUUAUGGAUUUUUGAAGUGAGUAGUUGAAUUCUGUUCAAGUCUGGACAAAAUUUACGUUUCACAUUGUUUGGCCUUUCUAAGUGUCAAAUCUUGUGGUGAUGAUAAUACCAAGGGUAUAGUGGACUUUGUAAGCUUUCUAUAAAGUCCUAGUUUACUUCUAUUGGAUGAAUAUUUUGUGAGUUAUGAGGAAAACAAAUAACCGUUGUGCUGCUGUCUAGAAAUAUGCAAGCAUUAAAUUGAUCUUUUGAAGUUACUCUUGUUUGGAUAGGUUUGGUUUAGGCUAUUUGAGCACAGUAUGUAUUGCAUUCAUAUAUAUAUAUAUAUAUAUAUAUAUAUAUAUAUAUAUUUAUUUAUUUAUUGAAGUACUUGCAUGUGUCAAUGUUGAUUUGGUGUUAGGAAAGCUUUGUCCGAGUUAUAUAGGACCGUCUACUAUCUUAGCCCGAGUUGGCAGCUUGGCUUAGCACCUACAAUUGUCGGAGUCUAUGAUCAGAGUACACCAUAUAUUCCAUGUCUUUAUGUUGAGGAAGUAUUUGCGGAAUCCAGACCAUCAAAUCGAGCUAGAGCCGAUUCCUGUGUAGCAAGACCAGACUCUAGUGUCGUCUGCUGCGUAUCUUAGAAUCCUAGGAGCUUGAGGAGCUGAUGCGGCAGAAGUACCCGAACCUUUCUUUAUGUGUGAGUUUUGUUGAUUUAUUGAUCUUUCCUUGUCGUUCUGAUAGAAGCGUCGGAAUUCGAGGUCGAAUUCUUUUUAAGGGGGGUAGAGUGUGAUACCCAAUUUUCUGAAAAGAAGUUAAAUGUAUUUUUCCCUUUUCUUUCGUGAUCUGUGUAGUUGGGGUUGGAGUUUUUUAGGAAGCAUUCACCAAUAAAACAGUAGAAUACUUGUUGGAUUUGUGCGUUGGGGUCGGGAGCAGACGUGAGAGCGAGUUUGGGCCGUGGAUCUCGAUCCGGCGGUGGGGAGCCCAUUAGUUUCCCCCCCUAAACCCUAGCCGCCCCCUCCCUCUCACUCCCCCACCCCUUUGGCCGCCCCUCCCCUCUCUCUUCCACUCUUGCAGCCGCCCCAAUCCCUCUCCUUCUUCCCCAAGUGAUUGCAGCGCCACCCCUCAACCCUAGCCCCCCCCACCUCUUCCUCUCCAAGGUGGAGCCUCCCCGCUUGGUGUCCGUCGUGUGGGUGCGAGUCUUCCAUGGGAGUUUGGAGGGAGGAAGAAGGAAGAAAAGAAGGAGGAAAGGAGGAACCCAAGGUGAUUUUCGUGAUCAUUUUGUUGUAUUUGUGCUGCAAUCCAAUUGGUUACAUGUUUACCUAUGCGAUUUGGUAGAGGUGCUGUCCAGAAAUUUAGUGGGUGGACGAACAGCAGUAGUUCUAGUGAUUUCUGGGAAUUUUUCGUGGGCAAUUAGUAGGGAUCAGUGGGAGAAUCAUGUAGAGCUUUGUCAUACCUUUCUAACGAGUACUUAUGCGCUCGAUUUGGAGUUAUAAUUUAGGAGAUAUCGUUGUUUGAAUCCGGUUAUGUUGCUGUCCAAAAAAACAGAUUUUUCAGGUGGGUGAACAGCAGUAGUAUUAGUAGUUUCUGUGAAUUUUUUGUGGGUAAUUAGUGUUAACCAGUAUGAUAAUCAUGUAGGGCUUUGUCUUAUCUUUCCAAUAAGUACUUAUGUGCUUGAUUUGGAAUUAUAUUUUAAAAGAUAUCGCUGUUUGAAUCCGGGUAUGUCGCUGUCCAAAAGACAAAAAAACAGAUUACAGGGUUCAUCUUGUGGACUGUUUUGGGCUAAUUAGAUGUUGGAAUUUAAUUAUAAAUUGUAUACAAAACUUGUGGGGAAUUUCAUGUAGAUGCCUCUGGAGUUUUUGUUUGUUACCACUGCUGUCAUAAUUUUAAAGUUAUGAAAUUAUUAAGCAGCGCCGCUGCAGUUUGGUGGGUGUGGGGAGAGAUGUAACCCGCGGCGGGGUUUGAGUUUGUGCAUAGGUGCGGCAUCGUUUAUGAGCCUGAUUAUGUGAAAUUGGUGCACUAAGUUGUGUGUCAAAAACAGGUGGUGGACUUCCGGAUCGUACUUAGGGAUUUGCCCGAACUUCCGGUAAAGGCAAGUAAAUACAGUGGUGGUUGCUACCGUUUGGGUUGCAUCCUAUUCCCUGACAUUGAGUAUGCAUAAGUUUUAAUUAUGUUAAUCAUUGAAUUCUAUGAUGAAGUUUAUUUGUUUGGAAGUAUUAAUUCUCAAUUGUCUAAUAUUGUGGAUGAUCAUAAUUUGGUAAUGAUAUAUGUGGUUGAUUCCCAUCUUGGAUGAAGUUGAAGUAUUUUUUUGAAUCACGUUAUAUGAAGUGUUGUAGGCAUGACAUGCUCAUCGCAUCAUCCAUCUUGCAUUUUGAAGUUAUGUCGUGAUCUUAUGGUCCGACCGUACCGGUACAUUUUUAGCAUCGUACGUUGCCCGAGGAGGGGUACGAUGCGGCUUCAUAUCCUUAGAGGUAUGAAGGCAGAAGUCAUCCUUGCAUUUGCAGACAUUUGCACUCAUGAGGUAUAUAUGAAGUGUGACAUUACUAUGUUACUAUUGUGGUUUCUACCUGCGAGGUGUGGUGACUAGGUGUGUUGUACGUUGUAUACGUGCUGCACCUUCGUAAUAAGAAGGUUGUGGAAUCAAGUGGUGGUAAAAACAAUGUUCUUAGGUGGUUAAACAGUUUGAUAUUAUUUUACUUGCUGAGAUGUGUCAUCUCACUCUUGCAUUACUCAAUGCAGGUACUUGAUACAUGUUGGGAAUGAGGGGAGUAGCAGCACGUCCACUUUCACUCUCACAAUAACGCUGCCCAGGCGUAGCCAUGAUUUAAUUAGAAACUUAUUGUCAAAGGAAGUUUGUUUUUUUAACUAGUCGUGCGCACUAGUUAAUUCACUUCAUGUCGUAUGUUUAACUUCUCUUUGUUAGCCGAUUAAUAAUACUUAGUAUGUUUUUGUCAUGAUAUAUGUUUAUACACUGUUGCCCCCUCAUUUAUGCAAUUUUGCAAGGGGGAUGCUGCCG
rnacentral:lncRNA from 1 species